CCGUUUUUCUCUCCACUGAUUCUCCACAGCUGGGUGAAGACCACGGCCGGCUCUCAUCUUUGUUUUCUUUCCCUUUUGCCGUAUUUUUCUCUACUGAUUCUCCACAGCUGGGUGAAGACCACGGUUGGGUGAAGACCACGGUCGGCUCUCAUCUUUGUUUUCUCUCCCUUUUCCCGUUUUGCUCUCCAUUGAUUCUCCACAGCUGGGUGAAGACCACGGUCGGCUUCAACCGGGCCAACCUCUUCGAGGCCGAGGUCCCAUACCUUAUCAAAGACGUCUCCACAGCUAGGUGGAGACCACCUUCGCCGUCAACCGGGAUCAAAGACGUCUUCACAGGUGGGUGGAGACCACCAUCGCCGUGAACCGGGCCAACCUCCUCCAAGCCGACGUCUUUGAGCUCAUCAAAGAAGUCUCCCUCAAGGACCGCGAGCUCAGGAUUGUGGACGAGGUCGGUGCCAAGAUCCGAGUCUUAGACUUCAUUUCUCCCGAUGUCCAGGAGCGAACGCGAUGGUCUUGAAGUUGUUAGAAAUCCAAAGAGGCCUAUCGGCGCUUGGAUACAUUACUAUAACGAUCAAUUAGCCAUGAUGAAAGAGAAGGAUAAAGGAGU